AAAUUUUAUUAUAUUAUCUAGCCUUUCUGUUUGUUUGAUUUAAGUCAGUCAAUGGUACUUUAACUUGAAAAUUUGAAUAUAUCGUUUAUCAUUAGCAUAAAUAUUGAAAUCAAAAUAUCGUUGACUGAUUCAAAUUAAAAAAUUGAAACAUUGAUAGUAAGAUAAAAAAAAGUCAGAUGGCCGAUUUAAAAUCGUCCAUAGUUUAGAUAAGUUCUAUACUCGUUUACCUAAUUUCCAUCACAUAUACAUAAAUUACCUAGCUAUAACCAAACAUCACAAUAUUUAUUUCAUUCAAAAUUCCUUUUUGUUUUGCCAUUCUUUUUCUUAUAUUUC
rnacentral:lncRNA from 1 species